CGUGUGGGGCUAACUGUGCAAAGUUGGUGUAUGGGUGCAGUGUCAUCAGGUGACUGAAUUGGGCUUGACCCAUUUUAUUUCCAAUUAAAUCAACAUAUAAAUUUUGGAGCCCAUGGUAAAUGAUAUGAGUAAAUGUGUUUGUUCCACAUGGAAAGAAAAGGAAAAAAAAUAAACCAACAUAAAUCGGUGAAAAUUGUGUGGAGAUGUUUAGUUGCAAGUGGUG
rnacentral:lncRNA from 1 species